rnacentral:rRNA from 1 species
UGAGGAAUAUUGGUCAAUGGGCGAGAGCCUGAACCAGCCAAGUCGCGUGAGGGAAGACGGUCCUAUGGAUUGUAAACCUCUUUGCCGGGGAGCAAAGAGCGGCACGUGUGCCGCGCCGAGAGUACCCGGAGAAAAAGCAUCGGCUAACUCCGUGCC